rnacentral:rRNA from 1 species
CCUACGGGAGGCAGCAGUGGGGAAUAUUGGGCAAUGGGCGCAAGCCUGACCCAGCAACGCCGCGUGAAGGAAGAAGGCUUUCGGGUUGUAAACUUCUUUUCUCAGGGACGAAGCAAGUGACGGUACCUGAGGAAUAAGCCACGGCUAACUACGCGCCAGCAGCCGCGGUAAUACGUAGGUGGCAAGCGUUAUCCGGAUUUACUGGGUGUAAAGGGCGUGUAGGCGGGAAAGCAAGUCAGAUGUGAAAACCAUGGGCUCAACCUGUGGCCUGCAUUUGAAACUGUUUUUCUUGAGUACUGGAGAGGCAGGUGGAAUUCCUAGUGUAGCGGUGAAAUGCGUAGAUAUUAGGAGGAACACCAGUGGCGAAGGCGGUCUGCUGGACCGCAACUGACGCUGAGGCGCGAAAGCGUGGGGAGCAAACAGGAUUAGAUACCCCAGUAGUC